rnacentral:rRNA from 1 species
GUCCUAGCCCUAAACGGUGCACGUUUGCUGUAAGAGGAAUCGACCCCUUUUGUGGCGAAGCUAACGCGUUAAACGUGCCGCCUGGGAAGUACGGUCGCAAGAUUAAAACUCAAAGAAAUUGACGGGGGCCUGCACAAGCGGUGGAGUAUGUGGCUUAAUUCGAUGCAACGCGAAGAACCUUACCUGGUCUUGACAUGUAGGUAGUAGAAGUGUGAAAGCAUGACGAGGUAGCAAUACCAGCUUACACAGGUGCUGCAUGGCUGUCGU